rnacentral:rRNA from 1 species
GACGAACGCUGGCGGCGUGCUUAACACAUGCAAGUCGAACGGAAAGGCCCUGCUUUUGUGGGGUGCUCGAGUGGCGAACGGGUGAGUAACACGUGAGUAACCUGCCCUUGACUUUGGGAUAACUUCAGGAAACUGGGGCUAAUACCGGAUAGGAGCUCCUGCUGCAUGGUGGGGGUUGGAAAGUUUCGGCGGUUGGGGAUGGACUCGCGGCUUAUCAGCUUGUUGGUGGGGUAGUGGCUUACCAAGGCUUUGACGGGUAGCCGGCCUAAGAGGGUGACCGGCCACAUUGGGACUGAGAUACGGCCCAGACUGCUACGGGAGGCAGCAGUGGGGAAUAUAGCACAAUGGGCGGAAGCCUGAUGCAGGAACGCCGCGUGCGGGAUGACGGCCUUCGGGUUGUAAACCGCUUUCGCCUGUGACGAAGCGUGAGUGACGGUAAUGGGUAAAGAAGCACCGGCUAACUACGUG